rnacentral:rRNA from 1 species
GUACGAAGGUCCCAAGCGUUAUUCGGAAUCACUGGGCGUAAAGAGUACGUAGGCGGUUUGGUAAGUCAGGUGUGAAAUCCCGGAGCUCAACUCCGGAACUGCAUCCGAUACUGCCAGACUUGAGUAAUGGAGAGGCAGGUGGAAUUCUCGGUGUAGCAGUGAAAUGCGUGGAUAUCGAGAGGAAGACCAAUGGCGAAGGCAGCCUGCUGGACAUUUACUGACGCUGAGGUACGAAGGCUAGGGGAGCGAAAGGGAUUAGAUACCCCAGUAGUCC